rnacentral:rRNA from 1 species
AUUGAACGCUGGCGGCAGGCCUAAUACAUGCAAGUCGAGCGAGCGGCGGACGGGUGAGUAACGUCUGGGAAACUGCCUGACGGAGGGGGAUAACUACUGGAAACGGUAGCUAUUACCGCAUACCAUCAGAUGUGCCCAGAUGGGAUUAGCUAGUAGGUGGGGUAAUGGCUCACCUAGGCGACGAUCCCUAGCUCGUCUGAGAGGGUGACCAGCCACACUGGAACUGAGACACGGUCCAGACUCCUACGGGAGGCAGCAGUGGGGAAUAUUGCACAAUGGGCGCAAGCCUGAUACAGCCAUGCCGCGUGUGUGAAGAAGGCCUUCGGGUUGUAAAACACUUUCAGCGAGGAGGCGUUACUCACAGAAGAAGCAACGGCUAACUCCGUGCCAGCCGCCGCGGUAAUAC